rnacentral:rRNA from 1 species
UACGAAGGGUGCAAACGUUGCUCGGAAUUAUUGGGCGUAAAGCGCACGUAGGCGGCUAUCUAAGUCGGAUGUGAAAUCCCUCGGCUUAACCAAGGAAGUGCACCCGAAACUGGAUAGCUUGAGUACAGAAGAGGAUCGCGGAAUUCCCGGUGUAGAGGUGAAAUUCGUAGAUAUCGGGAGGAACACCAGUGGCGAAAGCGGCUUCCUGGUCCAGCACCGACGUUCAGGCACGAAAGCGUGGGGAGCAAACAGG